GGAUUAGAUACCCUGGUAGUCCACGCCGUAAACGAUGUCUACUAGUUGUCGGGAGACUUGAUCUUUUGGUAACGAAGCUAACGCGCUAAGUAGACCGCCUGGGGAGUACGGCCGCAAGGUUAAAACUCAAAUGAAUUGACGGGGGCCCGCACAAGCGGUGGAGCAUGUGGUUUAAUUCGAUGCAACGCGAAGAACCUUACCUACACUUGACAUGCUGAGAAGUUACUAGAGAUAGUUUCGUGCCUUCGGGAACUCAGACACAGGUGCUGCAUGGCUGUCGUCAGCUCGUGCUG
rnacentral:rRNA from 1 species